rnacentral:rRNA from 1 species
GACGAAGGAUGCAAGCGUUAUCCGGAUUCAUUGGGUUUAAAGGGAGCGUAGGUGGCCUUAUAAGUCAGUGGUGAAAUCUCUGGGCUUUACCCAGAAAUUGCCAUUGAUACUGUAGGGCUUGAGUAUAUUUGCCGUUGGCGGAAUAUGACAUGUAGUGGUGAAAUACAUAGAGAUGUCAUAGAACACCGAUUGCGAAGGCAGCUAACGAAACUAUAACUGACACUGAGGCUCGAAAGUGCGGGGAUCAAACAGG